GUGUCACAAAGAUUUCAUUGACGCAUACACUGCUGCAUAUACUCACACACAGACAUUGCCUCCCAUCUGUGUGAGUGGGUGAGUGAAUAAAGGGGCCCUCGAUCUUGGGUUAAAAAAAACAAAACAAAUUCAAGGCCUUUGAUGAAGGAAAAUUUCUCUGGUGGGUGAAGACCUUGAAAAUUCCCAUUUUUGUGAUUGUGUCCCAAAGCAGAGAUAGAGUUGGUGUGAAAACUUAUGCUGCAUACACAGAAAAUUUGAAAAACAAAUCUUCUUAAUCGCCUAAAGAAAAAUAAGAAAAAUCAGGGAGCAUACAAAGUAAGCAUCCAUUUUGAUAUACACUUGUGGUCCCCUGCAUUUCAUAUUUAAAUGUCAAGGCAAAACGCAUGACAUGAGCAAGGACAAAUGCCGAGUAGAAGUAGGAGCAGCACCCAACGAAAACCACUUGUUGAUGUGUGUGUGUGGGUGAUUGUUUUGGUGCCCCAACAGCUUAAUUAGUAUUUAAAUUUUCCAGGUUUGCCACUUGGUUGUUUGUGUUUAAAACCGACCUAAUUUGAAAAUGAUAUUAUUCCCAAAAAAAAAAUCUUUUACUUAUAUCCUGCCAAGAAAUUGCAGAAAUACCUCUCUCUCCCCCUCGACUUACCAAAAUUUUUUUUAUUUUGUUAUGAAAACGGAAAUUUUCAACAACAAACAUUUGAAAUAGCCCCAAGAGAAUUUCAGAAAAGAAA